rnacentral:rRNA from 1 species
AUAUGCAGCCAUAUCACUCUGCAACUCACAACUGGCAACCCACAGAAGCAGGUGUGAACCUGGUCAGUACCUGGAUGGGAGACCUCCUGGGAAAAACAAAGGUUGCCGCUGGAA